GGGGCUGUAGCUCAGUGGCAGAGCACUUGCCUAGCAUGCAUGAGGCCCUGGGUUCGAUCCUAAGCACCA
rnacentral:tRNA from 1 species